UUGAAAGGGAAACGAUUGAAGUCAGUCAUGCCGGUGGGAAUCAACUUAGGGGAAACUCUAGGUGCACUUCUUCGCUUGGCAGGUCAACGUCGAUUUUGAAUGUCAUAAAAUAAUUGGGGGAAGGUAGCUCCUUCGGGAGUGUUAUAGCCCUUGAUAGAUGUGAUGUUUGAGGUCGAGGAUUGCAACGGAUACCCUUUGGGGCUAGCUGCCUGAUCUCUAAUUGGUGUUGGGUUACGGAUAGCAUGCUGNCCGUGAUCUAAUUACUGGUUAAAAGGUUAGAGUGUGCAUAAAUUCGUUAAGGAUGUUGACGUA
rnacentral:rRNA from 1 species